GACGAACGCUGGCGGCGUGCCUAAUACAUGCCAGUCGAACGCACAGUUUAUACCGUAGCUUGCUACACCAUAGACUGUGAGUUGCGAACGGGUGAGUAACGCGUAGGUAACCUGCCUGGUAGCGGGGGAUAACUAUUGGAAACGAUAGCUAAUACCGCAUAAUAUUAAUUAUUGCAUGAUAAUUAAUUGAAAGGUGCAAUUGCACCACUACCAGAUGGACCUGCGUUGUAUUAGCUAGUAGGUGAGGUAACGGCUCACCUAGGCGACGAUGCAUAGCCGACCUGAGAGGGGGAUCGGCCACACUGGGACUGAGACACGGCCCAGACUCCUACGGGAGGCAGCAGUAGGGAAUCUUCGGCAAUGGACGAAAGUCUGACCGAGCAACGCCGCGUGAGUGAAGAAGGGUGUCGGAUCGUAAAGCUCUGUUGUAAGAGAAGAACGGGUGUGAGAGUGGAAAGUUCACACUGUGACGGUAGCUUACCAGAAAGGGACGGCUAACUACGUG
rnacentral:rRNA from 1 species